AUACAACGGCGAUAACUAAUAUUAGACAUAGCGGAAAAUAGAUAAUUAUA
rnacentral:misc_RNA from 1 species